GCGGAGAUGGCCCAGCCUGGUACGGCGCGGGACUGCUAAUCCCGUUGAGCUCUGCUCAACCCGCGUUCAAAUCGCGGUCUCCGCG
rfam:Methanococcus voltae A3, complete genome.